rnacentral:rRNA from 1 species
UUGAACGCUGGCGGCAGGCCUAACACAUGCAAGUCGAGCGGUAACACAGAGAGCUUGCUCUCGGGUGACGAGCGGCGGACGGGUGAGUAAUGUCUGGGAAACUGCCUGAUGGAGGGGGAUAACUACUGGAAACGGUAGCUAAUACCGCAUAACGUCGCAAGACCAAAGUGGGGGACCUUCGGGCCUCAUGCCAUCAGAUGUGCCCAGAUGGGAUUAGCUAGUAGGUGGGGUAACGGCUCACCUAGGCGACGAUCCCUAGCUGGUCUGAGAGGAUGACCAGCCACACUGGAACUGAGACACGGUCCAGACUCCUACGGGAGGCAGCAGUGGGGAAUAUUGCACAAUGGGCGCAAGCCUGAUGCAGCCAUGCCGCGUGUGUGAAGAAGGCCUUCGGGUUGUAAAGCACUUUCAGCGGGGAGGAAGGCGGUGAGGUUAAUAACCUCAUCGAUUGACGUUACCCGCAGAAGAAGCACCGGCUAACUCCGUGCCAGCAGCCGCGGUAAUACGGAGGGUGCAAGCGUUAAUCGGAAUUACUGGGCGUAAAGCGCACGCAGGCGGUCUGUCAAGUCGGAUGUGAAAUCCCCGGGCUCAACCUGGGAACUGCAUUCGAAACUGGCAGGCUAGAGUCUUGUAGAGGGGGGUAGAAUUCCAGGUGUAGCGGUGAAAUGCGUAGAGAUCUGGAUGAAUACCGGUGGCGAAGGCGGCCCCCUGGACAAAGACUGACGCUCAGGUGCGAAAGCGUGGGGAGCAAACAGGAUUAGAUACCCUGGUAGUCCACGCCGUAAACGAUGUCGAUUUGGAGGUUGUGCCCUUGAGGCGUGGCUUCCGGAGCUAACGCGUUAAAUCGACCGCCUGGGGAGUACGGCCGCAAGGUUAAAACUCAAAUGAAUUGACGGGGGCCCGCACAAGCGGUGGAGCAUGUGGUUUAAUUCGAUGCAACGCGAAGAACCUUACCUGGUCUUGACAUCCACAGAACUUUCCAGAGAUGGAUUGGUGCCUUCGGGAACUGUGAGACAGGUGCUGCAUGGCUGUCGUCAGCUCGUGUUGUGAAAUGUUGGGUUAAGUCCCGCAACGAGCGCAACCCUUAUCCUUUGUUGCCAGCGGUUAGGCCGGGAACUCAAAGGAGACUGCCAGUGAUAAACUGGAGGAAGGUGGGGAUGACGUCAAGUCAUCAUGGCCCUUACGACCAGGGCUACACACGUGCUACAAUGGCAUAUACAAAGAGAAGCGACCUCGCGAGAGCAAGCGGACCUCAUAAAGUAUGUCGUAGUCCGGAUUGGAGUCUGCAACUCGACUCCAUGAAGUCGGAAUCGCUAGUAAUCGUAGAUCAGAAUGCUACGGUGAAUACGUUCCCGGGCCUUGUACACACCGCCCGUCACACCAUGGGAGUGGGUUGCAAAAGAAGUAGGUAGCUUAACCUUCGGGAGGGCGCUUACCACUUUGUGAUUCAUGACUGGGGUG